GAGUUUGAUCGUGGCUCAGAUUGAACGCUGGCGGCAUGCCUUACACAUGCAAGUCGAACGGCAGCACGGGAGCUUGCUCCUGGUGGCGAGUGGCGAACGGGUGAGUAAUGCAUCGGAACGUAUCCUGGAGUGGGGGAUAACGUAGCGAAAGUUACGCUAAUACCGCAUAUUCUGUGAGCAGGAAAGCGGGGGACCUUCGGGCCUCGCGCUCUUGGAGCGGCCGAUGUCGGAUUAGCUAGUUGGUGAGGUAAAGGCUCACCAAGGCGACGAUCCGUAGCAGGUCUGAGAGGAUGACCUGCCACACUGGAACUGAGACACGGUCCAGACUCCUACGGGAGGCAGCAGUGGGGAAUUUUGGACAAUGGGGGCAACCCUGAUCCAGCCAUGCCGCGUGAGUGAAGAAGGCC
rnacentral:rRNA from 1 species